GCAUCGAUAGCUCAGUGGCAGAGCGGUGGGGCGUUUACCCAUGCGGCCCGGGUUCGAUCCUCGGUCGAUGUA